CCUGCACUGCGGCCGUCACUGUGGUGGUUGGGGUUGCCGCGCUGGUUCACACCAGGACGCCAUCCGGAGCACAGCGGGAGGCUGUCGGGCCCUCCUAGAGGCAUUGCGCUUAUUUGCCGGUGGUUUCUGCUGCUGUGGGUCGUGAGCGCCGAGCCUAUAUGUACCAGUGAGUGAAAUAGGCAAGGCGGGACCUCGAGACGUUCGAGACGCAGCUGGUGAUGGACAGAAGAUGGCUCGCGUCCUUCAUCGUGCUGGCCGUGAGCGUGCAGGUGAGGCGUGGUCAUCGUGCUGAUAACGCUGCCCUCACCGGCCCGCCGGUCUUGCUGUUACCCGCCCAGAGAUCGGCAGCAGCGGCGCAGGUGGCCGGCAGGCACAAGCCAUCGCCCAAGGCCGUCAAGCUGUUUGAGGGCAAUAUCAACACGAGGACGUUCGAGGACUCUGGGGGCGGCGGAAAUCGGCGACGAGGUGCUGCCGAGGCACGAGCAACGCCCUCCGCAGGGGGGCCGGAGGGGGCGGGCAGCACCGCAGGCUCAGCUUCGCCGCAGUCGCUGCACUCGAAUGGCAUCGCGGAGCGGCGCGGCAUCAUGGACGGGCUGAGCCAGACCUACUCCGCCAUCAAGGAGACGGUGGUGCACGGCGUGGAGGUGCUGGGCACGGCGCUGGUCAACAAGGCCGGCCGCGUCGGCAAGGGCAUCAAGGUGGCCCUGGACGUGGACAGCGCGGGCAACGUUAGGCACGCUGCAGGGGCCGGUACCGCCCCCGGUGCUAGUCCUGGUGGAAUUUCCGGUACCGCCCCCAGUGCCACCCCUGGUGCUACCCCAGUAAACGCCCCUGGCGCCGGCCCUGGUGCUGCACCCGGUGCCGGCCCUGAGGGGAACCCACCUAUGACGGCACCUCAGGACCAGAACCUCGACGGCGAGCAAAAUGUAUGAGGAGGCGCGGGGACAGGGAGUUUACCGGGUGAACAUGACUCCCAUCCGCUAGCGCUGGCCGCCGGUCGCUGCCGCUACCCUGACUAAGACGUCAACUCAAAUAUAAACCAUAUGAACGCUGAACGGGCAUGGCGGUACCAGCAAAUGAGCGCGGCGGAUAAUGUUGCCGCGUCGUCAAAGCAAGGUGGCCGCUCUCUGCGGUAACUCAAGUGCGGCUUUCUAUUAAAAGCUUUUUAAAGGGUGGCACGA